GAAGUCAAGGAUGUUUAGAAAUACACUAGGUCCAGGACACACAGACCAAACUCUAGGUGUUUAGGCUUGCGGUUCAAUCCUCCAAUCUCCCUGCAGCAUCUCCAUAGUCCUUAAGAACAUCAUGUCAGGAGGAAGAAAAGUGUUUGAUAUAUGGAUGUCCUGCCACUGAAAACAGCCAUUUUUCCAUUUUUUUUUCUGUAUCUAGGCAUUCUUAUACAAGUGACUAUUGCUGAAGGACACUGAAUUCUUGGGAAGUACUAACUGGUAGUAUAAGAGGUCAUCAUUUUGCCAGAUAAAGUCUUUCCCUGUGGUAAAUGAUCAAUGAGGCAUGAUAUAAAUUCUAUCACUAUCUUUGCUGACGAUUACAGAACUCAGCUAGAGAAUUCUUUCAGGUAGCAACAGAAACACCUGGAUGCUUUUUUCCUAAAUAUCUGCAGAUCAAAUUCAAGAGAGUAAAUGCAUAUCUCUAACUUUGUAUGAAAGGCCACUUUGUCUACUCUUUUGGCCAGCAGCAUCACACAUUUCAAAGAUAUAUUUGUUCUUAGAGUUGUUCACACUGAGCUAUAUUGUUUAUAAAACAGUAUUACCAAUCAUAACCACCUGCAGCUGAAGAGUCAUAAAAUAGGUAGCUUGGAUACCAGGAAAACAUUUGCUAAAGCAGCACAGAACAUGUGUCCUUCUGGACUGUUCAAGCACAGAGGGUUAUAUCAGACUGGCAACCUGUCACUACUGGGGUUCCACAGAGGUCCAUCUUAGGCCCUGUGCUCUUCAACACCUUCAUAAAUGACUUGGAUGCAUGACUGGAAGGGACACUAAGCAAGUUUAGAGAUGACACAAAACUGGGAGGAGCUUUUGACUCCCUCGAGCGGCCUCAACAAAUCUGAGGGCUGGGCAAUCACCAACCAUAUGAAGUUCAACAAGGGAAAGUGCCAGAUUCUGCACCUGCGAGGGGGCAACCCUGGAUGUACGGACAGACUGGGGAAUGAGAUGCUGGAAAGCAGUGCCACAGAAAGGAACCUGGGGGUCCCGGUCCCUGCUGGCCCGUGACUCGCUAUCAAAGAGCUGGAUGUCCAAACUCUGGAUGGAAAUCAAAUGCUUCUUGAAGAUACUGGUCUUCCUACCACCUUUCCAGUCUCCUGAACUUUAGUGUCUGGCACACAGGCUGCCCAAGAACUGCUGUCAGGCCUGCUACAAGUUCUAGGUAGAUAGGACCAUGGCUGUCUACAAGUUCUUCCUUCUCUAUUCCCUUCUCACUUUUGCCUUAGACUGCAGCUGUGAACAGCACACCUUCCAGCAUGGCCUACCCUUCAUAACCAACCACCUGAAAUUCUUGUGACACCGGCUUGUCUACCUUCCACUGGACUCCUACAUAUCUGGAGCAAAAUCAUGUCAGCAAGCAGGACAACACAUCCUUUUUCUCCUGCCACCCCAGGGGCAGUUGGACAAAACCAAUCCAUGACUGCAGGCUGCCUACUGAAAUAACAGCUCUGUACCUGAUAUCCAAGUCUCUGAUCCUGAAGUGACCACACAGCAGUACAAGGCAUCUCCUCUAAAACAAACUUCAUGCUGUUGCUCCCAGGGCCUGACUAAGGAAGGGCAGCCAUGAAAUUCUUCAGGAAUGUGGAAGAGAAAAAGCAUUACUACAGGGUCAGCCUUUCAUUCUAAGUAAACUGACACCUCAACCAGUAUUUGUCACUGCUACUGCUCGUAGGGUUGUGUGCAGUGUCAUCAGCUCAUACCCUUCAGCAUUUAUAGAGGGGGAAAUGCUGUAUUGUCUCUUGAAGUUGAGGAAGGUUACACAAACACCUUAUCCUUGUGUGCAGUUGGUGCAGUUCACUGGACAGACCUCACAUGGCAGGAAACCAGCACUCUGAGACAAAAUUAUUCCAUGGCAGAUUUCUCCUGCAGCUCUCAGCCAUAUCAAAUUGCUUUUAGAGGCCUAAACAGCCCUCCUGUUCAGAUUAGCAACUCAUUGCCUGUCCACACACUCAGGCCCAUGCACUAGUUCCACCUGAAGCCUCACGUGCCUGUCCCCCUCGUCCAUUUUAACAAGGUGUAUAGGAAAACAGUAGGUUUGCUUGGGUUGAAUAUUAGUAGCAACAAGCACAAAAGGCUGAAUACUUCCAAAGAGAUUUCUUCAGUAUUGUUGUAGUAGACACAUGCUAUGACACCUUAAAAUGUUUGUUGCCCUGGUCUUAAGACUUUUUCAACCUUUCUGAACUGUACACAUCCCUCAAUUGCUGCUCUUCUGGUAGUUGGUGACUAUUGAGGGGCAUAGCCUCUGCCUACUGCUGAGAGGUUAUCCAGGCACCAAAAAUUUCAGUCCUCACAACAGACUGAAAAAUGAGUAUUUCCUUGCAGCCUAAGGUGCCACCAUAUUGGAGCACCUGGGAAGCCAAAGAGACUUUGCCAUCAUUGGGUAGAAAAAGCCAGAAGAAAGACAAUAAAGAAAAAAUCAGAGCAACAGAAAGUACGACAGAAGGAAUGGAAAGGCCUUCUGAGGAAAAUGCUGGGUAUAUUGUAGAACAGCAGUGUGACUCUUGACAGUGUCAGAAGAGCAGAUGUCAAUUUGACGUCACGCAGCACUGUGACACUUCUGUGUCACAUAAGCUCUUCACACUUUGAUUCCAUUCUAUCUGUUGAUGGACCUAAGUAACAUCCAUCCUUGCUGAGGGAUUUCACAGCCAUAUGGCCUAUUCAGUAGUUUGGAUCCCUGACACCACGGCCAUACACUAGGAACAAACUUCUGCUUAACGAAACUGAACUGAAAAAUAUAAUUUGCAUACAACAGCACGAGUUCUGCAGUCAACACCAGUACAUGGAGACAAUCAGAAAGAUUCACUUCAAUACCACAUCACUGCUCUGAACUAACACACUAGUGUAGAUACAGCUUUUCAAGAGCAACUCAUUGUAGACGACUAGUGAAAUGUGGCUAAACAAUGAUUCCCUCAAAUUGGGUCUAAACUGUACAAAUCUCUUUUCAAUAGCACAUGUCUGUAAUACCAAGCCCAUAAGUAGAGCAGAGAAGAACUGUCUAAUCAAAAACAACAAAAGUCAUGCAAUAUUUGGUUAGAUAUUAAAAUUUAAUACCAGCCCUAUUCUGAUAGCAUCUCCCCAUCUCAGCCAAACCCAUUUUUUUUCCUUUUAUGUAGUGUUGAUUUAUACCAGACCUAAACACACUUCAUAUUUUUUCUUACAUAUUUGCCACCAGUCUUCAUCUAAUCACUGGAAAUUAAUACAAAUAAUCCCACCUUACUUAGCUAAACUUGGAAACAGAAGAUUCUAGCCUAGAGAAUAAACCCAGAAACCUUCACCUAAGACAAAGCUUCACUUUUUUACACUUUUCAUGGCAGCUCCGAUUUCUGCCCCCCAGCCCUUCAGAAUCCUCAGCUCAAGGGAUCUGCAGGGAAGAUGCUCAGGUACUACCAGUUCCAGAAAUCCAUGGAAGAUGAGAAUCUGGCAAGCCUAAAACAAGUACCCAAUCCUGUGUCUUACCUGCAUAAAACUUACUUGUUGUCCCAACACUGACUUACUGCCACAUGGUUUUCCAAUAUUCAGUCCAAUGUGGCCUGAGGUUCCUUCAGCUUUCAUCAUCUGGUACACACAACAUGAGUUGCAUGCAGCCACCUGGUUAGAUGCUGUCCCCAAAACCUUGAUAAGCCUUUGGAACAAGGCAAGCAAAUCAGUGUAUGAUCCAGGAGCAAAAAGUACACAGCUCCACUGAGAGUGAGCUUGAGAGCUUCUAUUCCUAAUUAGCAGAAACAGAUGACAGUAGAGAAAAAACAUCCAGGGCUUGGCCUAAAUAUCCCAACCCUGGUAUUGAUUGAGUUCCUUUUUAUUGACAAGAAUGGCUAUGUGCAUGAACUUCACUGCAACUCUGGUUUGUAUUAAAAACCCCUUGCUGUUUAUUAAAGAAUAUUAGCCCUCGUGGACUCAGAGACAUUUGACUGUGCUGUAGUCAUCUCUGCUCCAGAAUAAGGAGAUAUUCUUUUGUCCUUGCUUUUUUCACAGUUCAUUUGAAAUCAAAUGUCCAUUUUUAUCCUAAUGUACAUUACAAAGCAGAUGGAUGUUAAUCAUGGAAUCAAGCUACAACUCAAAUAAGUUCAAAAGCAACAAUGCAUUGACAGUAUUGCUGUCUCUGCUCUUUACUAAGCUGUCAUGUUACCUGUCAGGUUUGUUUAAGGCAUCUUCAUCUCCAACAAACCUGACAUCAAGGACAGUCCCAGAAACACCAGCCAUGGAUACAACACCAACAGUCUGCCAGGAAGAAGUUCAGCACCUGGUUAAAGACUAGGUUUUUACAACUAUUAUGUCCAUAAGCCUCUACAAAGCAGAUUCCCUCUUCUGUUAACCUCUGAGCUUUACACUAGAGGCCAAGCACGAAAUAUUUGUGUUUGUCAUCGCCAUAUUCUGAUAAUUCCAGCUAUCCAUAACAGUUACUCUCAGGUCACCUUCAGUUUAACCAUACAAAACAGUAAUCUCUGUCUUUUAUACUUCUAUUACAACAAAGCAAAAAUGGGUCUUCCAACCCCAAACUAACCACAUAGAGCUCCAGCAAUUAAAUCUAACAGUUUCCACAGUAUGAUGGCAAGAUCCUCUUGCACUUAUCAAAAGAUAAGCCACAGAGAGAAACACUUCUUCAUAUAAGAGAUACCUUUUUGCUCAUCAACUCCAAGUUUGGUAGAAACAUGGCAAGGUGGAUCUCUAUGUUCAAACAAGUUUACCACAGAGAUGUAGGUUAUUGACAACAAAAGCAAUUUCCUUCCUCAGAUCUGAAGAAUUUCCAUCUCUUUCCCAGGCAAGUAAGUACACAGCACCGACAGCACUAGGGUGUUACAAGCUGUGUCACACCUACAUAGGUGUGACACAUCUGUUGAGAUGCUCCUCUCUCAGAGAGCGCAGUACAAAUGCAGAUUUACCUUCACAACAGGAUCAUGAAGCUUGUUGAUGCCUGGCAGCAGCACACUUGCACUCUAAACUCAGAAGCAAAAAGAUCAACUCAGACUUCAGUGGCCACAAGUAUUUCUAUGUGCCUACAUGCAGCAAACCAAAUACAGGCCACUAGUGUAAACCUUUACAGUGUUUUCAGUGAGACUAUUUCUACAGUAUCUUUUGGAAAUACAUCAGCUCAGUACAAACAAUGCUACCUAAACAGAAAUAGUGUUAAAGGUAUUAGAGCAGCACAACCACAACUGCAUGAAACACUUUUUCCUCCUUUAAAGCAUCAAUCAUAAAUAUUCCAUGCAUAAAAAACUAUGAAGUAUACAAAAAAAAAAAAAAAAGCUGUAAAACAAG